CCUACGUGGGGCAGCAGUGAGGAAUAUUGGUCAAUGGGCGGAAGCCUGAACCAGCCAAGUAGCGUGCAGGAUGACGGCCCUACGGGUUGUAAACUGCUUUUAUACGGGAAUAACGCGCCUUACGUGUAGGGCUUUGCAUGUACCGUAUGAAUAAGGACCGGCUAAUCCCGUGCCAGCAGCCGCGGUAAUACGGAGGCUCCGAGAGUUAUCCGGAUUUAUUGGGGUUAAAGGGAGCGUAGGUGGGUUGUUAAGUCUGUUGUGAAAGUUUGCGGCUCAACCGUAAAAUUGCAGUUGAAACUGGCAGUCUUGAGUAGAGUAGAGGUAGGCGGAAUGCGUGGUGUAGCGGUGAAAUGCUUAGAUAUCGCGAAGAACUCCGAUUGCGAAGGCAGCUCACUGGACUGCAACUGACGCUGAGGCUCGAAAGUGUGGGUAUCGAACAGGAUUAGAUACCCUUGUAGUC
rnacentral:rRNA from 1 species